UACAGUCACUUGAGUCUGUAAAUGGAAAGAAAACACUGAAAAAUGACGAUUGUAGUUGCAAUGGAUGCCAGAAAUAUUUUUCUGAAAAACUGGUGUAGUGUUGUCAUUCAGACAUAGAGAGACUAUUCCUUCUUCACUGCCAAAGGCUAACUGAACUUUAUUGAUUAACACGUUACACAUAUACAAGUAUAAGAGUUUACUGACUUGAAUUGCAAGUAGUACAUUUACUGAAUUAAGUACAAAGUGCUCACCUUAGAACCCAUAUUAAGGUGGUUGUCAAUAAUUAAGAUAGGUACAUGUAUAAUCAAUACACUACAACUGGCAGAUACAGUUUCUAUUGUACUCCAGUAUAUACAUCUUUCCCAAAAGAUUGUAUUUCUUUAGAGAAGAAUGAAAACUUAAAAGCAUUCUUUAAUCAGUAUAAAA